rnacentral:rRNA from 1 species
UACGUAGGGGGCAAGCGUUGUCCGGAAUCAUUGGGCGUAAAGAGCGUGUAGGCGGCCCGGUAAGUCCGCUGUGAAAGUCGGGGGCUCAACCCUCGAAAGCCGGUGGAUACUGUCGGGCUAGAGUGCGGGAGAGGCGAGUGGAAUUCCUGGUGUAGCGGUGAAAUGCGCAGAUAUCAGGAGGAACACCGAUUGCGAAGGCAGCUCGCU